rnacentral:lncRNA from 1 species
GAAUAUCGAACAUUGACUGCAAAAAUGAAACACAUAAAAUAUUACCAGAAAAAUUAGGGCAGCAAAAUGAUUUUCCUAGAUAUUACCAAAGAAAGAAAAAAGGAGAAAAUGGAGAAAGAAAAAGGAGCAGCGAAAGAUAAAAUUAACCGAGAAAGAAAAAGCCCCCGAAAUAAUACCAGAGAAAGAAAAAAGGAGCAACGAAACUAUUUUCUAAAUAGCCAAGAAAGAGAAUAUCGAUAGCAAACAUGGAACAAAGAAAAUCUCAUAGUUGCAAACAGAAAAUCAAAACCUAAC